AAUAAAGUGCUAUCCUGGGUCUAAGUAGCUGCUGGGAGACCCUAUGCCUGGCAGUAGGACUCUGCAGCAUGCCACACACGCAGGAGAACCCAGUCAUGGCUGUUAGACAAUUUCUGUGACCACAUCUCCCCUAACAUCUGGCCACCUGACUCCCCAGACUGCAAC